GUCGAGUCGGCCUGCGCGGAAGAUGUAACGGGGCUAAACCAGGUACCGAAGCUACGGGUGAGUUUCUAUUUCGAUAGGAAUUCGCGGUAGAGGAGCGUCGUGUAAGCCAAUGAAGGUGAAUUGAGAAGUUCGCUGGAGGUAUCACGAGUGCGAAUGCUGACAUGAGUAACGAUAAAGGGCGUGAAAAACGCCCUCGCCGGAAGACCAAGGGUUUCUGUUCGACGCUAAUCGGAGCAGAGUGAGUCGGCCCCUAAGGCGAGGCCGAAA
rnacentral:rRNA from 1 species